UACAGAGGUCCCGAGCGUUGUUCGGAUUCACUGGGCGUAAAGGGUGCGUAGGUGGUGAGGUAAGUCGGAUGUGAAAUCUCCGGGCUCAACCCGGAAAUGGUAUUGGAAACUACCUUGCUGGAGGAUUUGAGGGGGGAUUGGAAUACUUGGUGUAGCAGUGAAAUGCGUAGAUAUCAAGUGGAACACCAGUGGCGAAGGCGAAUCCCUGGAAAAUACCUGACACUGAGGCACGAAAGCUAGGGGAGCAAACGGG
rnacentral:rRNA from 1 species